GCCCGCUCAGAAACUCAAAGGAAUUGACGGGGCCCGCACAAGCGGUGGAGUAUGUGGUUUAAUUCGAUGCAACGCGAAGAACCUUACCUGGUCUUGACAUCCCGGAGACCCUUAGGAAACUAGGGGGUGCUUCCAUCUGGAAGAAUCUGGAGACAGGUGCUGCAUGGCUGUCGUCAGCUCGUGUCGUGAGAUGUUGGGUUAAGUCCCGCAACGAGCGCAACCCUUGCCUUUAGUUGCCAGCAGUUCGGCUGGGCACUCUAAAGGGACUGCCGGUGUUAAACCGGAGGAAGGUGGGGAUGACGUCAAGUCCUCAUGGCCUUUAUGACCAGGGCUACACACGUACUACAAUGGCCGAUACAAAGGGCAGCGACACUGCGGGGCGAAGCCAAUCCCGUAAAAUCGGUCUCAGUCCGGAUUGGAGUCUGCAACUCGACUCCAUGAAGUUGGAAUCGCUAGUAAUCGUGGAUCAGCAUGCCACGGUGAAUACGUUCCCGGGCCUU
rnacentral:rRNA from 1 species